AUUUUCCUGGCAAUGAUCAUGAUCUUCUCUCUCAACUCCUCGCUCAGCCUGAGGCUGAAAUGUCCUGCUCCUCCAGGCAGAGGAGACCUGCCCUCCUGAAGCCCUGUGGACGGUGCCACCAGAACAACAAUACUGAGAAUGACAGAGAUGUUCCGCUUUCCCUGUCCGUCACCGGUGGGCAGCCACCUCCCGGAAGCGGAUGAGCCUCCCUCCCACCAAUCACUGGAAGAUCAGUGGUAGCCCCACCCCCCCGACACAGCCGGAGUCGCCCCCCUCGCUUCCUCUCGCCACACAGUCAUUUUAUCGUCUCAAGUCGGCCCGAUGAGGGUAAAGCAGCUGAGCUCAAGAGAGGUUUGAAUAACUUGUUCUAGAUCACACCGCUACUAAGAAGAACCAGGAUCCACACAUUUGUGUAUAAAGUCUCAUAGUGUUUGUUUGUGCCCUGACGGCACGAUGCUCCUCCCCUAAGAGUGGCGGCCGUGUGGGAAAGGCACUGGCCUGGGAGUCGGGAAGCCUCUGGUCCUGCCUGCGUCUGCCCGUAACCUAGGAGUCA